UUUUGACAACGUCUCCAAAAGGGAUGCUAAUACCGCAUACGUCCUACGGGAGAAAGCAGGGGAUCUUCGGACCUUGCGCUAAUAGAUGAGCCUAAGUCGGAUUAGCUAGUUGGUGGGGUAAAGGCCUAUCAAUGCGACGAUCUGUAGCCGGUCGGAGAGGAUGAUCCGCCACACUUGGAACUGAGACACGGCCCAGACUCCUACGGGAGGCAGCAGUGGGGAAUAUUGGACAAUGGGRGGAACCCUGAUCCAGCCAUGCCGCGGUGUUGUGAAGAAGGCCUUAUGGUUGUAAAGCACUUUAAGCGAGGAGGAGGCUACUUUAGUUAAUACUAAGAGAUAGUGGACGUUACUCGCAGAAUAAGCACCGGCUAACUCUGUGCCAGCAGCCGCGGUAAUACAGAGGGUGCGAGCGUUAAUCGAUUUACUGGGCGUAAAGCGUGCGUAGGCGGCUUAUUAAGUCGGAUGUGAAAUCCCCGAGCUUAACUUGGGAAUUGCAUUCGAUACUGGUGAGCUAGAGUAUGGGAGAGGAUGGUAGAAUUCCAGGUGUAGCGGUGAAAUGCGUAGAGAUCUGGAGGAAUACCGAUGGCGAAGGCAGCCAUCUGGCCUAAUACUGACGCUGAGGUACGAAAGCAUGGGGAGCAAACAGGAUUAGAUACCCUGGUAGUCCAUGCCGUAAACGAUGUCUACUAGCCGUUGGAGCCUUUGAGGCUUUAGUGGCGCAGCUAACGCGAUAAGUAGACCGCCUGGGGAGUACGGUCGCAAGACUAAAACUCAAAUGAAUUGACGGGGGCCCGCACAAGCGGUGGAGCAUGUGGUUUAAUUCGAUGCAACGCGAAGAACCUUACCUGGCCUUGACAUACUAGAAACUUUCCAGAGAUGGAUUGGUGCCUUCGGGAAUCUAGAUACAGGUGCUGCAUGGCUGUCGUCAGCUCGUGUCGUGAGAUGUUGGGUUAAGUCCCGCAACGAGCGCAACCCUUUUCCUUACUUGCCAGCAUUUCGGAUGGGAACUUUAAGGAUACUGCCAGUGACAAACUGGAGGAAGGCGGGGACGACGUCAAGUCAUCAUGGCCCUUACGGCCAGGGCUACACACG
rnacentral:rRNA from 1 species